GUGUUUGCUUAGUCUCAAUGGCAUAUGGGUGCUUUUUCCAAACAUUUAUAUGAUUCCUAAGUGCAGUGGUUCCAUUUCUCCUUGUAUCACAACAAAAUUCUUUAUCAUAGUAAUUACGCAUGCCUUUUAUUUCUCCAUCAUCAUUUUUGAACUUUGUGAAGUGAUCCCAAACUUGAGAUCUUGGCUUAACGAGCUUUCUCUUCGUUUUUGAUGUUGUUGCAGUUGCAUUUUGGCUUUGAUUUGAGUAAGUCGUGCUUGUUGGUUCAUGAUUCCCACUUGAAGAAUCCAUAUUUACCUAUUACAAGAGUAAACAAUGAAUUAAAAUUAAAUUAGAAGCAACUGUUAAUUUAUAACAACCAUUGCAUUUAUAGUGUAAAUCAAUUAAGAAGGAAGCAAUACUAGAGUUGUCUAAUAUGGGCAGCAACCAACCUGACAUAAUAGAUAUCUUCAUAUCCUAACAUACUGGAUGCUACAUUCUCUAAAAUUUAAAUAAAAAAACAUGAGAAUCCAUUCUCUUCCUCAUCAAAAUCAAAGAGCAUUCAACACACAUUCCUUUAAAUCUUUCACGAAAGUAAUUAAAUCAUCUCAUAAAGUCAUUUUUCAAGCAAUUGAACUUCAAAAUCACAAUAAUAUGUUCUUUUUUCCCAAGAAAAUCAACCCACAAUAAUUGAUGCUCAUUGAAAAAGGGAUGAGUUUCACUUGUAGAAAAAUAUGAUAAUUCAUCAUUCAUCAAUCUAUUUCUUUCUUCCACUCCAAAUACAUUAACAUCAAACUCUCAAAAUUGAAAUAGGAAAACCACUGUCAUAAAAUUUUAGCUCAUUUAAUAUCAAAUCAAAUUUACAUAGAAAACAACCAUGACAAUAUUGAAAUAGAUUUUAUUUAUGUGAAACCCAAAAAAAAAAUUGAGAAAGAAAAUAACAUGAGAAAGGGAUUAAUAGGAAAUUUUUCUCAUAAAAGUUUUAUAUACACUAAACUAAACAUUAAACAAAAUAACAAAUGUAGGAAAAGUUUUGAAGUAAAACACAUGUAAUUAAACUAACAUUAAACAUAUCAAUCACCAGCAUUUCAAAUUCUACCAACAUUAGGCCAUUUCAGAUACCAACAUUCAUUACCCAACAAACAAUAAAAAAUCAACUUAAAAACAACAGUAAAAAAAAAAAAUACCGAUUACCGAAGAUCCAAGGAAGAAGGCAAGUAGGCAACAGACGACAGUAGAUUAAAAACAAAGUUUAAAGUUGGAUGCUUUAGUCUUUCAGGUGUUAAAUCUUUCAAGAAAAUAAACUCUAAAUUCUAGAACUGUUCAAAGUUCAAACAUAACAAAUAAACAACUUUGUUUUUUAGUAACUUAAAGAGUCAAAUAGGGAAAGAAUUAAAGAAAAGUACACUCAAAAGAGAGAGAGGGAGCUUACAUAGAAGAGAGACGGCAGCGAGAGACCGAGGAUGCAUGACUCGCGAUUCAUGAAGAACUGAAGGAGAAAGAGUAAACCACACAUUGCAUGCAAGGCCGACUGGCAACAAGCAAGUCCUCAGAUUGAAAGUGGUGAUAAAAUUAUAAUGCCUCCCUCAGCCCUUGAUCGCCUCGCAUCUUUGCAUAUUGAUUAUCCAAUGUUGUUUGAGCUUCGUAAUGAUGCUGCUGAGCGGGUCUCUCAUUGUGGGGUUCUGGAGUUUGUUGCAGAAGAAGGCAUGAUUUAUAUGCCAUACUGGAUGAUGGAGAACCUCCUCUUGCAAGAGGGAGAUAUAGUGCGAGUGAAAAAUGCAACUCUUCCAAAGGGAACAUAUGUUAAAUUACAACCUCACACAAAGGAUUUUCUGGACAUAUCCAAUCCAAAAGCUAUCCUAGAAACAACAUUAAGGAAUUAUUCUUGCUUAACAACUGGAGACAGUAUUAUGGUGGCAUAUAACAACAAAAAGUAUUACAUUGAUAUUAUUGAAACGAGGCCUUCAAAUGCAAUAAGUAUCAUUGAGACAGACUGCGAGGUGGACUUUGCACCUCCACUGGAUUACAAGGAACCUGAAAAACCUGCUCUGCCUAUUACUCAAAGCAAGGCAACUUCUCAAGUUGAAGAGGAUCCUGCUGAGACUGAACCAAAAUUUAGUCCUUUUACUGGAGUAGGGAGACGCUUGGAUGGGAAGCCUUUGAAGCACCAACCUGGGCCAGAGUCUUUACAGGGAUCCAAAGACAAGCAACCAACUGUUGCCAAUGGUAGGGGACAACAUUCUGUGGGAUCUAGUUCAGAAAAUACACGACGACAGUCUCAAGGAAAACUUGUGUUUGGUUCAAAUGUCAGCCGUGCUGCUAGGGAAACACGGAAGGAAGCUGGAAAAGAGGUGAAAGAACAAAGUGAAAAGAAAGAAGAACCAAAGUUCCAGCCAUUCACUGGAAAAAAGUACUCUUUGAAGGGUUGAUUGUAUAAUCCGACUAUUUAUACCUUUGACUUGUUAAUGCUUUGCGUAAAAACAGUAGGAAUUAUAUGCUGAUAUGUGAUGUUAUAUUAUUGAAAGAUGGAACUUUAAGUUGCAAUGGGAAGCAACUAGUAAAACACCCUUGUUUGACAUGAUUGUGAAGCUUCAAGUGGAUUUGCAAUUGUGCUGUUCGUGCUGUUUUCUGUAUAUCCAUGCCAAGCAACAUCAUUAUUUAAGCCAGAUAUAAGAUUCCACAAUUUCUAUUGCUAUGUAUAGAGAAAUAAAAACGAUUGCAGGUUCUGGGAUUGUCUUUAGAUAGCUAUAUCAUGGCAUACCAAUUUUAACAUAAAAAGGGGCUUCUAUUUACUGCCUCUUUUCUAAUAUGAACCUGUUUAACUAUACGUUAAAGUCAGCUUUUGA
rnacentral:misc_RNA from 1 species